UGUGCACCACCUUCAUGUUUAUGAUUACUGAAGACUGUUAUAUUAUUUUCACGUGCGUGGGCCAGCGACCAGGAUCGAUCCUAUAUUUCCUGUUUUAUUAAUUAAUAUCGGGUCCUCUUAUCGCCGUCCGUGGCUGAUCCGAUCCGAUCGCCUCUACUAGGUACGCAUGAGAGCUCACGGCGUUGGGUCGAAUCGGUUGCGCUUUUCCGCUCCAGCGAGAGCCAUACAAUCAUAACAGUGAAUUUUGGUGUACCCCAUCAUAGGGUCAGGCCCAUAUUUGGUACACCGAAGUCACGUGACCAACUCUAACCAAUCAUAAACCGAGGAGGGCGGCGACUUCUUGGUAACGAAAUGUUAGACUCUACCACUGUUGCUUUAAUGGGCCUUUAUUUCCGGCCGCUCUGGAUCGCGUCGUGCAAAUGCGACGUGGCCGCGGCGAUCCAUCGACUCGUCCCCGUCCCGCCGCAACCCGACGUCGGCGGAUCGAAUCGAAAUAAGAGCUAAUAAAAUAAGGCGAAGAAACCUCCGGGCGACGCUGGCAACUCGAGCCGCGGUAGCAGAGUUCCUGGUAUUCGCGGCAGUGGAGUGAGCCCGGCGCCUUCUGAGAGAGGCGAUCGUACGCGAUUCUUUUCUUUGGCGAUUUUUAUUCUCCAGUUGUCAUCGCAAAAUACGUCUCGUUUGCCGGCGAUUGGGACACAAGGAGGCCCCUGGCGUGCGCUGGAGGUGUCGCAGCGCCCUACCGAGCCCCGUAGAAGGUAAGACGGGCGUAAGAAGCAGUCGCCAAGAAAGGGAAGGUAGAGUUCAAAUCAAUCCUAGUUAUAUGAUAGAACAAAAUAGGAUGAACGAACCCAAACU
rnacentral:lncRNA from 1 species